rnacentral:tRNA from 1 species
GACUCGUUAGCACAGAAGGUGGGGCGUCAGUCUCAUAACCUGAAGGUCGUGAGUUCGACCCUCACACGAGGCA